rnacentral:rRNA from 1 species
UACGAGGGGAGCAAGCGUUGUUCGGAUUUACUGGGCGUAAAGGGCGCGUAGGCGGUCGUGACAAGUCACUUGUGAAAUCUCCGGGCUUAACUCGGAACGGUCAAGUGAUACUGUCGGACUAGAGUACAGAAGGGGCAACUGGAAUUCUCGGUGUAGCGGUGAAAUGCGUAGAUAUCGAGAGGAACACCUGCGGCGAAGGCGGGUUGCUGGGCUGAUACUGACGCUGAUGCGCGAAAGCCAGGGGAGCGAACGGGG